AGUAACUUCCUUAUAAUUAAUGAGAAUAUCACAAAAGUGAUAGGAUGUGUUGCCUCUGAUAUAAGGUUUCAAAAGACUCUAUCUUCCAACUUGCCAUCUUCUUCACCCUCCCUUUCUUUCUCUUUUUGAGGAAGUGAGCUGCCGUAUUGAGAGCUCCAUAUGGCAAGGAACAAGGACACCCUCUACCUAACAGCCAGCAAGGAACUAAGACCUGCCAAGAGCUGCAUCAAGACACACAUGGAUCUGACCCAGAAAUAGAUACAACAUGGCCAUGACUUGCAGUAGUGUGCUAAGGGAUCGAACAGAAGUGGAAAUGCAAACGUCUUCCUGUGGUGGUGGCGUGUGACCUGGAGCUCAUCACCUGGGUAACAAUUUUGUAAGGAAAGUGAAAAAUAAUUCUUGUUCACACAGGGUAAGGAUAAUUGAAAGCAUUCCCAGUGGAAGUAAAUGACCCAAUUGGAGGAAAAUAAGGAGCAGGUAGAAAAAAAGGCUAAAAGGCUUCAGGAGUACUGAGUGGCUGCAGUUAGCUGAGAAAUAAGAAUCGUUUGCUGAAAGUCUUCAUGUUGAAGUAAAGGUCCCUGACUUGCAACACAGGUCACCUGUUUUCAUGAACUUCCAGAUAGCAGCAUAAAAGACAAGAGACCACAUAUGGGAUGAC
rnacentral:lncRNA from 13 species